GCCACAGUAGUGUAGCGGUUAGCACACCUGUCCCUGAAACAGGGAACUGGGGUUCGACUCCUCCCUGUGUCU